CAGCCGCCGCGGGAACACGUAGGUGGCAAGCGUUGUCCGGAAUUAUUGGGCGUAAAGGGCUCGCAGGCGGUUUCUUAAGUCUGAUGUGAAAGCCCCCGGCUCAACCGGGGAGGGUCAUUGGAAACUGGGAAACUUGAGUGCAGAAGAGGAGAGUGGAAUUCCACGUGUAGCGGUGAAAUGCGUAGAGAUGUGGAGGAACACCAGUGGCGAAGGCGACUCUCUGGUCUGUAACUGACGCUGAGGAGCGAAAGCGUGGGGAGCGAACAGGAUUAGAUACCCGCGUAGUCCCUGUCUCUUAUAA
rnacentral:rRNA from 1 species